CAAUACCACACACUCCCCCGCAAGUAUAAAACGCAGUCGAGAAUGGGGUGGGUCUGAAUAGUGAUGGAAAGGGGGGGGAGGGCUGCCCAAGGAACCCUGGAGAUCAUGGCGGUUGACAAA
rnacentral:sRNA from 1 species